UUAAUAGAUAACGCAAUUGACAUUUUAUCACACGUUUAAUCAUUCAUCUUAUUUAAAAAAUUUACGUAAUUAUAAUCUAUUUUAUUGUGAGUUGUUUUAUCACUUAAAGUAUUUUAUUCGUGAUUCAAAUCUUAUGUAUUUAUAUAAAAUUUUUGAAUAAGAUGAAUAGUCUGAUAAGAAGUCAAUGGCGUUAUCUAUUAA
rnacentral:pre_miRNA from 1 species